rfam:Ornithorhynchus anatinus chromosome X1, whole genome shotgun sequence.
AGCAGCGUGGCUCAGUGGCAAGAGCCCGGGCUUGGGAGUCAGAGGUCAUGGGUUCGAAUCCCGGCUCUGCCA